rnacentral:rRNA from 1 species
AGAGUUUGAUCAUGGCUCAGGAUGAACGCUAGCUACAGGCUUAACACAUGCAAGUCGAGGGGCAGCAUUUUAGUUUGCUUGCAAACUGAAGAUGGCGACCGGCGCACGGGUGAGUAACACGUAUCCAACCUACCGAUAACUCCGGAAUAGCCUUUCGAAAGAAAGAUUAAUACCGGAUAGCAUACGAAUAUCGCAUGAUAUUUUUAUUAAAGAAUUUCGGUUAUCGAUGGGGAUGCGGUCCAUUAGUUUGUUGGG